ACCACCAACCAACUAACCAACCCACCCACCCACACAGUAGAGCUGGAAGGAUGAACGAGCAGUGCAGAAGAGUUAGAGCACAGCCCUAAGAAGGACACCUUGGAGACUGCACUGCAGUAGCAAGCCAAGCAUUCCAGACCCUGUAACCCCAGCUUCAGGGGAUCUGGCACCCUUUUCUGACCUCCACACGUGCCCAGGAAUUACAAAUUCUUUUACCUUCAAUGCCACUCCACUCAGCAUCUCUC
rnacentral:lncRNA from 1 species